UGGAUUGAGAGCUUGCUCUCACCGAAGUUAGAAGCGGACGGGUGAGUAACACGUGGGUAACCUGCCCAUAAGACUGGGAUAACUCCGGGAAACCGGGGCUAAUACCGGAUAACAUUUUGAACUGCAUGGUUCGAAAUUGAAAGGCGGCUUCGGCUGUCACUUAUGGAUGGACCCGCGUCGCAUUAGCUAGUUGGUGAGGUAACGGCUCACCAAGGCAACGAUGCGUAGCCGACCUGAGAGGGUGAUCGGCCACACUGGGACUGAGACACGGCCCAGACUCCUACGGGAGGCAGCAGUAGGGAAUCUUCCGCAAUGGACGAAAAGUCUGACGGAGCAAACGCCGCGUGAGUGAUGAAGGCUUUCGGGUCGUAAAACUCUGUUGUUAGGGAAGAACAAGUGCUAGUUGAAUAAGCUGGCACCUUGACGGUACCUAACCAGAAAGCCACGGCUAAACUACGUGCCAGCAGCCGCGGUAAUACGUAGGUGGCAAGCGUUAUCCGGAAUUAUUGGGCGUAAAGCGCGCGCAGGUGGUUUCUUAAGUCUGAUGUGAAAGCCCACGGCUCAACCGUGGAGGGUCAUUGGAAACUGGGAGACUUGAGUGCAGAAGAGGAAAGUGGAAUUCCAUGUGUAGCGGUGAAAUGCGUAGAGAUAUGGAGGAACACCAGUGGCGAAGGCGACUUUCUGGUCUGUAACUGACACUGAGGCGCGAAAGCGUGGGGAGCAUACAGGAUUAGAUACCCUGGUAGUCCACGCCGUAAACGAUGAGUGCUAAGUGUUAGAGGGUUUCCGCCCUUUAGUGCUGAAGUUAACGCAUUAAGCACUCCGCCUGGGGAGUACGGCCGCAAGGCUGAAACUCAAAGGAAUUGACGGGGGCCCGCACAAGCGGUGGAGCAUGUGGUUAAUUCGAAGCAACGCGAAGAACCUU
rnacentral:rRNA from 1 species